AUUGAACGCUGGCGGCAGGCCUAACACAUGCAAGUCGAGCGGAUGACGGGAGCUUGCUCCUGGAUUCAGCGGCGGACGGGUGAGUAACGCCCAGGCAUCUGCCUGGUAGUGGGGGACAACGUUUCGAAAGGAACGCUAAUACCGCAUACGUCCUACGGGAGAAAGCAGGGGACCUUCGGGCCUUGCGCUCUCAGAUGAGCCUAGGUCGGAUUAGCUAGUUGGUGAGGUAAUGGCUCACCAAGGCGGCGAUCCGUAACUGGUCUGAGAGGAUGAUCAGUCACACUGGAACUGAGACACGGUCCAGACUCCUACGGGAGGCAGCAGUGGGGAAUAUUGGACAAUGGGCGAAAGCCUGAUCCAGCCAUGCCGCGUGUGUGAAGAAGGUCUUCGGAUUGUAAAGCACUUUAAGUUGGGAGGAAGGGUUGUAGAUUAAUACUCUGCAAUUUUGGCGUUACCGACAGAAUAAGCACCGGCUAACUCUGUGCCAGCCGCCGCGGUAA
rnacentral:rRNA from 1 species